UUUAGUAUUAAUUUUAUUUUAUUUAAAUAAUAAUUUAUUUUUAUAUGUAGUAAUUAAUAUUAAAUUAUUUAAGAAAUUAAGAUUUAGUGAUAUUUAAAUUAAUAACAAAUUUUGUGCCAGCAGUUGCGGUUAUACAAAAAUUAAAUUAAAUUUUGUUGAUAAUUAAUAAAUAAUUUGUUUAUUAUAAUAAAAAUUUUAAAUUAUUAAGUGAAAUUUUAAUUUAAUAAAAUUUUAUAGUUGUUUUAUGAUUUAAUAAAUUUUAUGAAAAACUAGGAUUAGAUACCCUAUUAUUAAAAUUUAAAAUUAAAAUAUCAAAAUAGUAAAUAAUUAUUUAUUGAAACUUAAAUAAUUUGGCGGUAUUUUAGUUCAUUUAGAGGAAUCUGUUUAUUAAUUGAUAAUCCACGAAUAAAUUUACUUAAUUUAUUAUUUUGUAUAUCGUUGUUAAAUAAAUAUUUUUUAAUAAAAUUAAUAUUUAAAAAUUAUUAUUUUAAUUUAAAUCAGAUCAAGAUGCAGAUUAUAAUUAAGAAUAUAAUGGAUUACAAUAAAUUUAUUUAAAUGAAUAUUAAUUUGUAAAAAUUAAUUGAAAGUGGAUUUAAAUGUAAUUUUAUUUAAUUUAAUAAAAUGAUUAAAAAUUAAAAUAUGUACAUAUUGCCCGUCGCUUUCAUAUAAUAAAUAAAAUUGAAAUAAGUCGUAACAAAGUAGAGGUACUGGAAAGUGUUUCUAGAAAGAA
rnacentral:ncRNA from 1 species